UGUUAUAUGUGUCAUACGAGACUGCCGGUAAAAGACCGGAGGAAGGUGAGGAUGAUGUCAAGUCAGCAUGACCUUUAUAUCCAGGGCUACACACACGCUACAAUGGUCUGUACAAUGGGUAGCCAAGCCGCGAGGCGGAGCCAAUCCUGAAAGCAGGCCUCAGUUCAGAUUGCAGUCUGCAACUCGACUGCAUGAAGCCGGAGUUGCUAGUAACCGCAGGUCAGCAAUACUGCGGUGAAUACGUUCCCGGGUCUU
rnacentral:rRNA from 1 species